UAUUAAAAAUUUCAUCUAAUUCUAUUGUUAAAACUAGUGUAGCUAACAGAAUAAUCAAAUAGUUACAUAUGACGUGUCACUUAUACCUCAUGUUGACCGUACAUGAACAAACUUUUAACAAUAGAAAUAGAUGAAAUUUUUAAAA
rfam:Gossypium raimondii Chr10_contig_16, whole genome shotgun sequence.